AUACAUAGGGGGCAAGCGUUAUCCGGAAUUAUUGGGCGUAAAGCGUGCGCAGGCGGCCAUUUAAGUCAGCGGUUAAAUCGUGGGGCUCAACCCCAUUCUGCCGUUGAUACUGGGUGGCUUGAUUGCGGUCGAGGUUGGCGGAAUUCGUUGUGUAGCGGUGAAAUGCAUAGAUAUGACGAAGAACACCGAUUGCGUAGGCAGCUGACCAGACCGCAAAUGACGCUCAUGCACGAAAGUGCGGGGAUCGAACAGGAUUAGAUACCCUGGCAGUCCGCACAGUAAACGAUGAAUACUUGUUUUCGGCGAUAUAAUGUCGGAGGCAAAGCGAAAGCGAUAAGUAUUCCACCUGGGGAGUACGCCGGCAACGGUGAAACUCAAAGGAAUUGGCGGGG
rnacentral:rRNA from 1 species